rnacentral:rRNA from 1 species
CUGGUGGGUAGUUUGACUGGGGCGGUCUCCUCCUAAAGAGUAACGGAGGAGCACGAAGGUUGGCUAAUCCUGGUCGGACAUCAGGAGGUUAGUGCAAUGGCAUAAGCCAGCUUGACUGCGAGCGUGACGGCGCGAGCAGGUGCGAAAGCAGGUCAUAGUGAUCCGGUGGUUCUGAAUGGAAGGGCCAUCGCUCAACGGAUAAAAGGUACUCCGGGGAUAACAGGCUGAUACCGCCCAAGAGUUCAUAUCGACGGCGGUGUUUGGCACCUCGAUGUCGGCUCAUCACAUCCUGGGGCUGAAGUAGGUCCCAAGGGUAUGGCUGUUCGCCAUUUAAAGUGGUACGCGAGCUGGGUUUAGAACGUCGUGAGACAGUUCGGUCCCUAUCUGCCGUGGGCGCUGGAGAACUGAGGGGGGCUGCUCCUAGUACGAGAGGACCGGAGUGGACGCAUCACUGGUGUUCGGGUUGUCAUGCCAAUGGCACUGCCCGGUAGCUAAAUGCGGAAGAGAUAAGUGCUGAAAGCAUCUAAGCACGAAACUUGCCCCGAGAUGAGUUCUCCCUGACUCCUUGAGAGUCCUGAAGGAACGUUGAAGACGACGACGUUGAUAGGCCGGGUGUGUAAGCGCAGCGAUGCGUUGAGCUAACCGGUACUAAUGAACCGUGAGG